AGCGAACGCUGGCGGCAGGCUUAACACAUGCAAGUCGAGCGGGCGUAGCAAUACGUCAGCGGCAGACGGGUGAGUAACGCGUGGGAACGUACCUUUUGGUUCGGAACAACCCAGGGAAACUUGGGCUAAUACCGGAUAAGCCCUUACGGGGAAAGAUUUAUCGCCGAAAGAUCGGCCCGCGUCUGAUUAGCUAGUUGGUGAGGUAACGGCUCACCAAGGCGACGAUCAGUAGCUGGUCUGAGAGGAUGAUCAGCCACAUUGGGACUGAGACACGGCCCAAACUCCUACGGGAGGCAGCAGUGGGGAAUAUUGGACAAUGGGCGCAAGCCUGAUCCAGCCAUGCCGCGUGAGUGAUGAAGGCCCUAGGGUUGUAAAGCUCUUUUGUGCGGGAAGAUAAUGACGGUACCGCAAGAAUAAGCCCCGGCUAACUUCGUGCCAGCCGCCGCCGUAAC
rnacentral:rRNA from 1 species